rnacentral:lncRNA from 1 species
AUAGAGAUCAGAAUAGAGAUCCCUCAAAAAAACUAUAUCCAGGUGUGGUGGGGCACGCCUGUAAUCCCAGCACUCGGGAGGCUGAGGCAGGCAGAUUUUUGAAUUUGAAGCCAGCUUGGGCUAUCCAAUGAGUUCAAAUUCAACCUGAACUACAUAAAGAGAACCCAUCUCAAAAUCAAAAACAAAAAACUAAAACUAGAAAUUCUAUUUGACCCAGCAAUUGCUCUUCUAGGUAUCUUCCUGAACAAGGGAAAGACAUCAUGUUCCAGUGAUCUAUGCAGCACAAUUCAUGACAGCUGAGUCCUGGAAGCAGCCUAUGUGUCCAUGCACAGAUGAAUGGACAAGGAAGAUGUAUUUACACAUCAUGGAGCAGCAGCCCAGGGCCCUCUGACUGGAAGGUUUGCCGGUGGCGCUGCAAGACAGGUGGGGAUGGAGGACCUCGGGACACCUUGAGAGAACCAAGCCCCUCGCUGACUCUACCACCUCUGCACCCAGCCUCCUCGCAACCUUCACGAGCGGUCAUCACACUUAGGAAGCUGGUGACUCGGGUGAAAGUGAACUGCGGGACUCCAGGGCCCUCGAUAUGCCAAUGGGAAGUGGCUCUUCAGGAGCAGCUAUCUGCGGGACUAGCCGGCUGGGCCUCACGGCCUCAAGAGAAGCCGGCUCUAACCUUCAGGUCGUCCCCCACUGCCUGGGAUGUGGGGCCCCUCUGCAGCCGCCUCUCCCCCUCUGUCCCCUGGGCCAGCUCCAGCCCCUCCUGCCGUCUCCCCAGGGGCUGCUGCCACCGCUAAGGGCACAGGGCUCCCCCAUGGAAUCUGCUCUGAUAGUCGCAUAAGGGUAUUUUAUCCUUUAUGUGCUUUUUGAUUAAAAGGGCUUUCAAAAAUGUGAGACUCAUUUUUAGGGAAGGUUUAGGUUUGCAGCCGCUCUGCACGCUUUGGAUCACACACCUGCUGUACGGAGCCAGUAGGAACAGCAGGCAUGGAGAUAGUGGCUGUUGCCUGACCCCAAUCAAAUCAGAAGCGAUCUGCUACCGAUCUAGCGGUAAUUGAAAGCCACUUCCUAGGAGGUGAAGUAAAGGCAGGUGGACUCGGGAGCCCCUUCCUCCCUGCCCGUCACUAAUCUGGGUGCUACGUGAGUGGCUCCAGCUUCUCCUGGCCCUGCCCCAGGGCACAGCUCAGAGCCAGGGUGCAGAUGUGGGAAUGUGGGGCCCAGCCUCACCUCCAGACUCCAAGUUUCAGAUCCCCUGCAGACAAUGGCCAGGCCUGCGUUCUGUCUCACAUAGGUUAUUUUAUUUGCUUUUGAGACAGAGUCUCACUGUGUUGUCCAGGCUGGCCUUGAGCUCACGGGCUCAAGGGAUCCUCCUGCCUCAGCCUCCUGAGUAGCUGGGACUACUAUGCACAGCACCAUGAUUAUUUUUAAAAACACCUAGUUCGAUGAAAGAGUAAACAAAACCCAAAAUGUACAAUAGAAUAUGAAAGGGAAAGAAACUGCUCAAAGCAAGGAACAAUUGGGAUGAGGGAAAGAAGAAAAAGAAAGUACUAAGGCAUAUACAUACAUAUAUAUAUAUAUAUAUAUAUAUAUAUAAAUAUAUAGCUGGCAUAACUGUACUGUUGAUGUCUGGUGGUUUAUUGAGGGGAACAGUUAAUGCUUAAAAUAUUUUAUAUUUUGACCAAUUUUGCAUGCCUGCAUCUGGUAAUCUGAGCAACUUAUGUGAAGACAAUAUGCAGUAUAACAACCAUUGAUAAAUUUCUACCAUCUUGUUUAGUGAAACUCUGUAUUGUCUCUAAUGUUCUUUUAAAUUAUUAUUUUCUUAUUCCCUUGAAUGGUUUGAUCAAUCUUCCAUUCUUACAUCUGGUAAUCUGAGCAACUUUGUUGAAGAUGACAAUAUGCAAUAUAACAACCACUGUUAAUCCCUAUCAUUUGGUUUGAUCAUUUCAUUUAUUUCCACAUCAUUUUCAUUUAUUUUUAUUUUUGUCUUUUUUGAGACAGGGUCUCACUGUGCAGUUCAGGCUGGCCUUGAGCUCACUUUGUAGCCCAGGCUGGUCUCAGACUCAUAGCGAUCCUCCUGCCUCAGCCUCCCAAGUGCUGGGAUUACAGGCAUGCACCAGCAUGCCCGGCCCCAUAUCAUUUUUAAUGUCCUUGCUUUGUUUUGUUUGUAUUUUGAUAUUGUCUAUUGUUCUUUAUUUAUUUAUUUAUUUAAAAGAGCAAAAGAAGGACAACAUAGCAAUAGGGGGAUUCAAUGAAUUACAGACAAAGUGGUAGGACAUUAUCAAUGGUUGUUAUUUUACCUAUUGGUAUCUUCAAGAUAGUUUCUCAGGAUGUUGUUUUUUUAAAAACUAUUCUCUUUAAAAUAAAAAAAAGAAACUGCUCAAGAGAAAAGAACAACUGGGAUGAGGGAAAAGAGAAAAGACAGAAAGAAGGAAAAAAUACGUAUAUAUGUACACACAAGAGAGCGAAGAUAGUACUACUGAUUUCUACUGCUUUAUUGAAAGGAACAGUUAAUGGUUGUUUUUUUUUUUUUUUUUUUUUGGUUUUUUUCUCCGGUACCAGGAACCGAACUCACGACCUUGCGCUUGCCAGGCAGGCGCUUUUGCCGCUGAGCUAAAUCCCCAGCCCCGGAACAGUUAAUGUUUAAUUGUUGGAUCAAUCUUACAUGCCUAUAUUUGUUUAUCUGAGUAACCAAUUUGAAGGUAUCAAUAUGUAAUACAACCACCAUUGUUAAUUUCCUGUCACCUUGUCUGAAAUUCUGUACUGCUCGUAUUGUUUGUGUGUUAUUUUGUAAAUGUCUGUGUGUCUGUCAAUAUGUUUUCAUUCUGUUAUCUUUAAAAUAAAUAAAAAAAUAAAAACACCCAGUUCUAAGGAUGUAAUAGUGAAGCCAGUCUGUGCGCAUGGCUGGGGUGGGAUGGACCCAUACUCACACUCGGAUCUCUGCCUCCACUUCCGUCCCAUUGUAAGAAACCAUUUAAAAGCAUCACUGCAGAAGAGGCCUGGCCUGGAAGUGGUCUCCUGUCAGUCAUGGUGUCAGGAUGGAGGACUUAGAGCUACUUGCCAAAAAGCAGGUGACAGGUGGAGAAACUGAGGCCCCGGAGAUGAGAAGCUGACCAGGGCUAGCUCUGCAGUCAAGCUCAGCUUUUUCUCCCUACCCGUGAAGCCAAAUCAGUGUGGCCUACAGGCUCCCCUGCCCCUGCCGCAGGAAGGAGGGAUGGGCAGAGAAAAAAGGAGAGGCUCAGGGCAGAGAAGAAAGAAGGGGACAGGAAGCCACGGCCUGCGUGGGGUCCAGGAGCCCCUCGCAGGGUGGAAAGAAGCAGGGAAGUCACUGGUGAGCACCGGGGAAGGAGCCAAAUAUAUGCAGGAGCCAUUUCCUCUCUCAAGGAAGAUAAACAAUAGAUUUAUAAACAAAUUUCACAAAGCUGUCCAACUACUUAAAGCACCCUGGUACAAACUCACAUCCUUUGUGAGCAUAAAGCUGAUCGCGCAGGGAUCCACAGCUAUCCUGGGGAGAGGGAAGAUGGGGAAGGGGCCAGGACAGGGAAAUGUCCCUUCUCAAUCUCUUCCCUGCUAGGUCUUGAUAUGGGAUGGGCUGCCGUCCCUUUGCGCGCAGUUUGCUCUUCUGUGAAAAAGGAACAGAAAUUCCUGCCCAAUGGGGCUACUGCGGAAAGGAAACCAAGACGUGCUUUCUGGCAGUAUCACAGACCAGACACCCUCCUCGACCUUCCUAUGAGCGCAUGGGCUAAAUCGUAAAAGUAGAAACUGUGUGUGCAUUCCUGAGCUGCUGCAAAGGGACAGAUUCUGCAAAGACCAAAAACUCACUGGAAGCAGAGAGCUAGAGAGGAGGGCUGGCAGCGAGGCUGGCUUUGCUCGACGAGUCUGCACUGAACCCUGGAGGGUCUGAGUGUCUUAGGCAGGUUUCAAAGCCUGGGGAGACGGUCUUCCCACAAAGCGGGGGCUCCAACGGGCUCCAUUCUUGGGGACCAAGAAAUAAGCACACAGACAAAAGGGGACUGGAAGGAGAUUUCAUCUUGGGCUGGGAAAAAGUCUCUCCUAAAAUUGUGCAACCAUAACCUGAACUUCGCAAGGUAUGCAGUCUGAAUUAUGCUGUGUAC